rnacentral:rRNA from 1 species
GAUGAACGCUGGCGGCGUGCCUAAUACAUGCAAGUCGAGCGAACGGACGAGAAGCUUGCUUCUCUGAUGUUAGCGGCGGAUGGGUGAGUAACACGUGGAUAACCUACCUAUAAGACUGGGGUAACUUCGGGAAACCGGAGCUAAUACCGGAUAAUAUUUUGAACCGCAUGGUUCAAAAGUGAAAGACGGUCUUGCUGUCACUUAUAGAUGGAUCCGCGCUGCAUUAGCUAGUUGGUAAGGUAACGGCUUACCAAGGCAACGAUGCAUAGCCGACCUGAGAGGGUGAUCGGCCACACUGGAACUGAGACACGGUCCAGACUCCUACGGGAGGCAGCAGUAGGGAAUCCUCCGCAAUGGGCGAAAGCCUGACGGAGCAACGCCGCGUGAGUGAUGAAGGUCUUCGGAUCGUAAAACUCUGUUAUUAGGGAAGAACAUAUGUGUAAGUAACUGUGCACAUCUUGACGGUACCUAAUCAGAAAGCCACGGCUAACUACGUG